AAUGAAUGAUGACAAAAUGUUUCGGUCCCAGAUGACUUGGAAUGAUUCUAUUUUCCCAAUUCUGACAUU
rnacentral:snoRNA from 1 species